AGAGUUCGAUUCUGGCUCAGAUUGAACGCUGGCGGUAUGCUUAACACAUGCAAGUCGAACGGAAACGAUACUAGCUUGCUAGUAGGCGUCGAGUGGCGGACGGGUGAGUAACGCGUAGGAAUCUGCCUAGUAGUGGGGGACAACAUGUGGAAACGCAUGCUAAUACCGCAUACGCCCUACGGGGGAAAGCGGGGGAUCUUCGGACCUCGCGCUAUUAGAUGAGCCUGCGUUAGAUUAGCUUGUUGGUGGGGUAAUGGCCUACCAAGGCGACGAUCUAUAGCUGGUCUGAGAGGACGAUCAGCCACACUGGGACUGAGACACGGCCCAGACUCCUACGGGAGGCAGCAGUGGGGAAUAUUGGACAAUGGGCGCAAGCCUGAUCCAGCAAUACCACGUGUGUGAAGAAGGCCUGAGGGUUGUAAAGCACUUUCAAUUGGGAGGAAAACAGCUGGGUUAAUAGCCCUGCUCUUGACAUUACCUUUAGAAGAAGCACCGGCUAACUCCGUGCCAGCAGCCGCGGUAAUACGGAGGGUGCGAGCGUUAAUCGGAAUUACUGGGCGUAAAGCGUACGUAGGCGGUUAUUUAAGUCAGAUGUGAAAGCCCCGGGCUCAACCUGGGAACUGCAUUUGAAACUGGAUAACUAGAGUUUGAUAGAGGAGAGUAGAAUUUCUGGUGUAGCGUGAAAUG
rnacentral:rRNA from 1 species